GUUAUAACGUUGGGGAUCCACCUCUUCCCAUUCCGAACAGAGAAGUUAAGCCCAACGGUGCCGAUGGUACUGCGUCACAGUGGGAGAGUAGGACGCCGCCGUUU
rnacentral:rRNA from 1 species